AACGCGAAGAACCUUACCAAGGCUUGACAUGAACCGGAAACGCCUGGAAACAGGUGCCCCACUUGUGGUCGGUUUACCAGGUGGUGCAUGGUUGUCGUCAGCUCGUGUCGUGAGAUGUUGGGUUAAGUCCCGCAAUCGAGCGCAACCCUCGUUCUAUGUUGCCAGCACGUGAUGGUGGGGACUCAUAGGAGACUGGCCGGGGUCNACUCGGAGGAAGGUGGGGACGACGUCAAAUCAUCAUGCCCCUUAUGUCUUGGGCUUCACGCAUGCUACAAUGGCCGGUACAAAGGGUUGCGAUACCUGUGAGGUGGAGCUAAUCCCAAAAAGCCGGUNUCAGUUCGGAUUGGGGUCUGCAACUCGACCGCCAUGAAGUCNGAGUNNCUAGUUAUGGUNGAUNAAAAACNNNNACCCCUUAACUNNGNCNU
rnacentral:rRNA from 1 species